rnacentral:rRNA from 1 species
GACGAACGCUGGCGGCACGCUUAAAACAUGCAAGUCGAACGUGAAGCCCGGGCUUGCCCGGGUGGAAAGUGGCGAACGGGUGCGUAACACGUGAGCAACCUGCCCCGAAGACCGGGAUAACACCGGGAAACCGGUGCUAAUACCGGAUGUCUUCACCACGUCGCAUGGCGAGGUGGAGAAAUGGAUUCCGCUUCGGGAUGGGCUCGCGGCCUAUCAGCUUGUUGGUGGGGUCACGGCCUACCAAGGCAACGACGGGUAGCUGGUCUGAGAGGAUGUCCAGCCACACUGGGACUGAGACGCGGCCCAGACUCCUACGGGAGGCAGCAGUUAGGAAUCUUGCGCAAUGGGCGAAAGCCUGACGCAGCGAUGCCGCGUGCGGGAUGAAGGCCCUCGGGUCGUAAACCGCUUUCAGCAGGGACGAUUGUGACGGUACCUGCAGAAGAAGCCCCGGCCAACUACGUGCCAGCAGCCGCAGUAAGAC